GUUGGGCAUGGUGGCUCAUGCCUGUAAUCCCAGCACUUUAGGAGGCUGAGGUGGGCGGAUCACCUGAGGUCAGGAGUUCCAGACCAGCCUGGCCAACAUGGUGAAACCCCAUCUCUA
rnacentral:SRP_RNA from 1 species